CACGUAGGGGGCGAGCGUUAAUCGGAAUUACUGGGCGUAAAGGGUGCGCAGGCGGUUUUGUAAGCCAGAUGUGAAAUCCCCGGGCUUAACCUGGGAAUGGCAUUUGGGACUGCAAGGCUAGAGUGUGGCAGAGGAGACUGGAAUUCCUGGUGUAGCAGUGAAAUGCGUAGAUAUCAGGAGGAAUACCGAUGGCGAAGGCAGGUCUCUGGGCUGACACUGACGCUCAUGCACGAAAGCGUGGGGAGCAAACAGG
rnacentral:rRNA from 1 species